AACGAACGCUGGCGGCAGGCCUAACACAUGCAAGUCGAACGCCCUAGCAAUAGGGAGUGGCAGACGGGUGAGUAACACGUGGGAACCUUCCCUAUAGUAUGGAAUAGCCCAGGGAAACUUGGAGUAAUACCGUAUACGCCCGAGAGGGGAAAGAUUUAUCGCUAUAGGAUGGGCCCGCGUAGGAUUAGCUAGUUGGUGAGGUAAUGGCUCACCAAGGCGACGAUCCUUAGCUGGUCUGAGAGGACGACCAGCCACACUGGGACUGAGACACGGCCCAGACUCCUACGGGAGGCAGCAGUGGGGAAUAUUGGACAAUGGGCGCAAGCCUGAUCCAGCCAUGCCGCGUGAGUGAUGAAGGCCUUAGGGUUGUAAAGCUCUUUUGCCGGGGACGAUAAUGACGGUACCCGGAGAAUAAGUCCGGCUAACUUCGUG
rnacentral:rRNA from 1 species